CCCUGGUGCAGAACUGCUGGUGAACUGUUUUUUUAUUUAGGAAUAGGCAGAGCAUUCUCUCUUCCUUCCUGUCUCUAAUUAUGUUUGGCGGCAUUGAUCAUGUGACUCUUUUGAGACGAACCAAGCCUCGGCACAGAGUUUCUGAAGCAGUGCUGAUUGUUUUGACACAUGCGCCAGUUUCAGCUUCAAACGGACCAUCACUACUUUAAGCUAAACUUUUCUACUUUUUGUUCAUUCUUUCUUGGUGAGCCCGAAAGACCACUUGCUGCAGUAGAGUAGUCGGUCUGUGAACAUGGAGACAGUGAGCAUCUUACUGAUUGUCCUGUUUGUUUCAGGUGCUUUGGCUGAUUAUCAAGACUGGAUAAAACUCUACAUGACUGCCCCAAAGCAGCUGGAAGCAUUGAGUGGAUCUUGUUUGCAAAUCCCAUGUAGCUUCAGACCCAAAGAAGAACAGAAAUUUAACAGAGCAAGAAAAAUCUUUGGAGUAUGGAUUAAAAAUAAUGUUGACUUUGGCAAAUAUCCAAACAAUGUGAUCUUCAACAGUAGUGGAGCAGUUCGCAUCUAUCCAAUGAGUAUUACUGGGAACCUGAGUCAGAGAGACUGCACCACUCUGUUUUCUGAUUUAACCACCACAUACACAGAAACAUACUUCUUCAGAGUAGAGAGAGAAACAUUCAAGGCGACAGCUCAACAAGAUCCUCUUCAAAUAACAGUCAGAGAGAGUGAUGGAGCUAGAGGCAGAUGAGUCAUGAGCAGAUUUUUGUGGAUGAAGCUGGUUUUCACCUCACAAAGACAAGGAGACGUGGCAGGAACAUUAUUGGACACCGUGCCAUAAUCAACGUCCCAGGACAACGCGGUGGUAACAUAACUAUGUGUGCAGCUAUACGUCAAAAUGGUGGUGUUCACCAUCAUGCAACCCUGGGCCCAUAUAACACUGCACAUAUUAUUACAUUCCUGGACACCUUACAUGACAUGCUCACUAGUGUUCAGAGACCAGAGCAGACCAGUCAUCAUAUGGGACAAUGUUAUUUUCCAUAGGGCUGCUUUGGUCCGCAACUGGUUUACAGAUCACCCACUCUUCACUGUACUCAACCUCCCCCCAUACUCUCCAUUCUUGAACCCAAUUGAAGAGUUCUUCUCUGCCUGGCGCUGGAAGGUCUAUGACCGUCAUCCCCAUCAACGCAUAGCCCUUUUACAGGCAAUGGAGGAGGCAUGUGGGGAUAUUGACCAGGCAUCAUGUCAGGCCUGGAUACGCCAUUCCAGAAGAUAUUUUCCCUGGUGCCUUGGACUAGAGGACAUUGCAUGUGAUGUAGACGAAAUUUUGUGGCCGGACCCAGAGAGACGACACGAUGUAGACUGAUUUCUUUUUUUUCCUCAGUGAAAUUACUAUUUUGUUUGGACUUGGAAAUAAACACUUGUGUUUGUUUUGAUGUGUGUAAAUAAACACCAGUACUUGAAGUUUGGAUCAUGUUUCCAUGU